rnacentral:rRNA from 1 species
GACGGAGGAUGCAAGUGUUAUCCGGAAUCACUGGGCGUAAAGCGUCUGUAGGUGGUCCAAUAAGUCAACUGUUAAAUCUUGAGGCUCAACCUCAAAAUCGCAGUCGAAACUAUUAGACUAGAGUAUAGUAGGGGUAAAGGGAAUUUCCAGUGGAGCGGUGAAAUGCGUAGAGAUUGGAAAGAACACCGAUGGCGAAGGCACUUUACUGGGCUAUUACUAACACUCAGAGACGAAAGCUAGGGUAGCAAAU